UAUACGACCGUACCGCAAACCGACACUGGUGCGCGAGAUGAGUAUUCUAAGGCGCUUGAGAGAACUCAGGAGAAGGAACUCGGCAAAUUGACACCGUAACUUCGGAAGAAGGUGUGCCCUAUUAGUGUGUAGUGAACAACGAAGCAUGAAUGGGUUGCAAAAAAUCGGUGGCUGCGACUGUUUAUUAAAAACACAGCACUCUGCAAACACGAAAGUGGACGUAUAGGGUGUGACGCCUGCCCGGUGCUGGAAGAUUAAAUGAUGGGGUGCAAGCUCUUGAUUGAAGUCCCAGUAAACGGCGGCCGUAACGAUAACGGUCCUAAGGUAGCGAAAUUCCUUGUCGGGUAAGUUCCGACCUGCACGAAUGGCGUAACGAUGGCCACACUGUCUCCUCCUGAGACUCAGCGAAGUUGAAAUGUUUGAUGAUGCAAUCUCCCCGCGGAAAGACGGAAAGACCCCAUGAACCUUUACUGUAGCUUUGUAUUGGACUUUGAACAGAUCUGUGUAGGAUAGGUGGGAGGCUUUGAAGCAGGGUCGCUAGAUCUUGUGGAGCCAACGUUGAAAUACCACCCUGGUGUGUUUGAGGUUCUAACCUAGGUCCAUUAUCUGGAUCGGGGACAGUGCAUGGUAGGCAGUUUGACUGGGGCGGUCUCCUCCCAAAGCGUAACGGAGGAGUUCGAAGGUACGCUAGUUACGGUCGGACAUCGUGACGAUAGUGCAAUGGCAUAAGCGUGCUUAACUGCGAGACUGACAAGUCGAGCAGAUGCGAAAGCAGGACAUAGUGAUCCGGUGGUUCUGUAUGGAAGGGCCAUCGCUCAACGGAUAAAAGGUACUCUGGGGAUAACAGGCUGAUACCGCCCAAGAGUUCAUAUCGACGGCGGUGUUUGGCACCUCGAUGUCGGCUCAUCUCAUCCUGGGGCUGUAGCCGGUCCCAAGGGUAUGGCUGUUCGCCAUUUAAAGAGGUACGUGAGCUGGGUUUAAAACGUCGUGAGACAGUUUGGUCCCUAUCUUCCGUGGGCGCUGCAGAUUUGAGGAAGCCUGCUCCUAGUACGAGAGGACCGGAGUGGACACACCUCUGGUGUAUCGGUUGUCACGCCAGUGGCAUUGCCGAGUAGCUAAGUGUGGAAGAGAUAAUCGCUGAAAGCAUCUAAGCGGGAAACUCGUUUCAAGAUGAGAUCUGCCGGGGCCUUGAGCCCCCUAAAGAGUCGUUCAAGACCAGGACGUUGAUAGGUCAGGUGUGGAAGCGAAG
rnacentral:rRNA from 1 species